GGGCCCGCACAAGCGGUGGAGCAUGUGGCUUAAUUCGAGGCAACGCGAAGAACCUUACCUAGAUUUGACAUGUAAUGGACGUAUGUGGAAACACGUAUUCCCGCAAGGGCCGUUACACAGGUGCUGCAUGGCUGUCGUCAGCUCGUGCCGUGAGGUGUUCGGUUAAGUCCGGCAACGAGCGCAACCCGUGUCAUUAGUUACCAUCAGGUAAUGCUGGGGACUCUAAUGAGACUGCCUGUGUUAAGCAGGAGGAAGGCGCGGAUGACGUCAAGUCCGUAUGGCCUUUAUAUUUAGGGCUGCACACGUGCUACAAUGGACGGUACAGAAGGAAGCAAGAUCGCGAGAUGGAGCAGAUCCCGAAAACCGUCCUUAGUUCAGAUUGCAGUCUGCAACUCGACUGCAUGAAGCCGGAAUCGCUAGUAAAGGCGUAUCAGCUACGACGCCUUGAAUACGUUCCCGGGCCUU
rnacentral:rRNA from 1 species